UAUGAAUUGGGACCCGACAAUCCACCAUAUGCUGACAAGUUCUACGACUUUUGUGGGGCUGAGGUUCCUGAGGCAUCCAGCUGCACUACCAGUUUCCAUGUUUCGUAUGAUGACGAUUGAUCCAUGUAAUAUCUCUCUUUUAAGUUUCAUCAUUUCAUUCAAUCUUGCUCUUGCACUCUAACCAAGGUUUUGUAUUUCCAAUAAUCUCAUCUCUUUUAUAUAAACAUGAAGUUGAUUCGUAAUUGGUUUUUUUUUUCUUAAGGUCUGUGUUUAUUUUCAUUACUGUAUUAAUGUUUUCUGCUGUUGUUUAUAUAAUUCUAAAAGGAGAGAGAUUAAUGGCAAUAUGGCAUGAGGGUAAAAAAGACAAGCGAAGGAGGGAAGGAUGAGGAAUGCACGGGUUGGCCUAUUUUGGCCUGAGUUUUUUUUUUUAAUUGGUUUGGGAUUUCGUUUAUGUUUGCGGUUCUUUUGCUCUAAUUAAUAUUGUUUGGAAUUCAUUAGAAUUUUGUUUAUGUUUGGGGUUGUCAUGUUCGAGUAUUUAAUUAGGAUAAACCUAAUUUGGUAGUUUACGUUACAGUUGUUAGUUUUCUUAAAGGAUAAAUCCAAGCGAUAAUGCCUUUUCUGAUAUAUGUGCAAAUGUUAACACUUUGUAGAUUUUCAGUUUUUAAACAAUAAGAAAAUCUAACCGUUCAGACUCCAGAGUGCUUUGUCAUUAAGGUAAAUGAUUUUCAUUUUUUGCUUUGUGCCUUUUGUGAUUAAGAAAGUUUAGUCAUUUGUUUAUUCACUUAGUAAUUAACUGGUGAGAGGAUGAAACAUUUCACUGCUGGUUACUAAAAAACUAACAUAAUCUGAUAGAAGAGCUUUCGUUUCUUUUUCUUUGCUUGCAUUAAUUUUGUAUUGUGUUUUUUUUUUUUUUUUAGAAUUUUUUGUGCAUAUUUUUGGGAAUUUUUAUUUGGUUAGAGAAAGGGGAAGAAUAUAAGGAGAGGAAUUAUAUCCUUCGAGUUUUUGGAAGUUUUAAUGCGAUUCGCAUCUUGCAUUUUUGUAACGUCUGUACAAGUUGUCACUUAGAUCUUUUGGUUUUUGGCUACUUUAGUUUUUGAUCAUUAAAUUGUAAGAUUAAAGUUUGUGAUUGAGUUCUUAUUUAAUUCCAGAUUGGAAUGGGUGCAAUCUAAGCACUCCUAAAAUUGAAAAGUUCUCCGAAGAUUUUGAGAAUGGCUGUGUCAUAUAUGGUUUAUCAUCCAUGCAAGGAUGACGUACCACAAUGGAGGAUGCUGUAAUUGAUCAUCAUGCGGUUUGUAAGUUGGAUUUUUCUAACUGGUGGGUUAUCGAAUUGAUAAAAUUGGCGAAUUUGAUUAAUGUAGUGUCAAAUUGGUGGAGCAUGAGUUAUGACAGCGAGAAGAGAAGGGGUUAAUUGGUGUGUUGUCUCAAGGUUAAAUGCGUCUUAUUCAUGCAGUUACACCUGAAACAGUUAGUUCUCGCCGCAACGCCCGGGCUUAAUAUCUAGUAGGUUCUAAGGGAAUGUUGAGAGAGAAGAUUUCCCCAAUAAAUGAACGAGAGUAGAUGAAUUCCAUGAAGAACUAAGAACUGCUCUCUCUCUCUCUCUCUCUCUCUCUCUCUCUCUCUCUCUCUCUAUAUAUCUUCUAAUUAAUGUCGAGUCCAGAUUCAUCAUCAAAUGGGAGCAAUAACAUCUAUUGCUAUAGUCAUGGUGUGCAAGAAAUGUAAGGAACUCACAAGAAAGAAACAAAUUCAGAAUGGCAGCUUAGUGAGGAUCACAAGUCUAGACUUUCAGACACUUGCAAUGAACAACCCUUGAGCUGAUAUCUUGGAGGCAAAGUUACAAGUUUUGAAUUUCAAUUUUUUAUGUUUACUUUCAUAUGUAAUCUGAGCCAUUGGAUCAUAGUCCAAGUGGUCUCUUCUCUAGCCUAAGAUUUAAGUGAUAGAUUAUGACAAGUGUAAUCACCUCAUAGGGUGAUAGAAUCAAAGGCUAGGAUUUAAUCUUGGUGUAAAGUUGUUAGAGAAGAAUCUCACUGCUCUCUCUCCUCUAACGGUUAUAUUUGGUUAGUGGAGUGUGAAAUUCAAUUAGAAUCUUCAUCA